GGAUGCAAUCAUACCAGCAGUAAAGCAACGGAUCCCACCAGAACUCCGAAGUUAAGCGUGCUUGGGCGAGAGUAGUACCAGGAUGGGUGACCUCCUGGGAAGUCCUCGUGUUGCAUUCC
rnacentral:rRNA from 2 species